GGGGAUAGAGCUCAGUGGUACAGCACCUGCCUGGCAAGCAGGAGGUCCUGAGUUCGAUUCCCAGUAUCAACA